rnacentral:sRNA from 1 species
GCUGGGCGUGGUGGCACACGCCUAUAAUCCCAGCAACUCAGGAGGCUGAGUCAAGAGGAUCACAGGUUCAAAGCCAGCCUUAGCAAUUUAGUAAAGCACUAAGUAACUUAGGGAUACCCUGUCUCAA